rnacentral:rRNA from 1 species
GACGUAGGGCGCGAGCGUUGUCCGGAUUUAUUGGGCGUAAAGCGCACGUAGGCGGUCCAGCAAGCGGGGAGUGAAAGCCCUCGGCUUAACCGAGGAAGUGCUUUCCGAACUACUGGACUUGAGUACUGAAGAGGGUCGCGGAAUUCCCGGUGUAGAGGUGAAAUUCGUAGAUAUCGGGAGGAACACCAGUGGCGAAGGCGGCGACCUGGGCAGAUACUGACGCUGAGGUGCGAAAGCGUGGGGAGCAAACAGG